GACGAACGCUGGCGGCGUGCCUAAUACAUGCAAGUAGAACGCUGAAGGAGGAGCUUGCUUCUCUGGAUGAGUUGCGAACGGGUGAGUAACGCGUAGGUAACCUGCCUGGUAGCGGGGGAUAACUAUUGGAAACGAUAGCUAAUACCGCAUAAGAGUAGAUGUUGCAUGACAUUUGCUUAAAAGGUGCAAUUGCAUCACUACCAGAUGGACCUGCGUUGUAUUAGCUAGUUGGUGGGGUAACGGCUCACCAAGGCGACGAUACAUAGCCGACCUGAGAGGGGGAUCGGCCACACUGGGACUGCGACCCGGCCCAGACUCCUACGGGAGGCAGCAGUAGGGAAUCUUCGGCAAUGGACGGAAGUCUGACCGAGCAACGCCGCGUGAGUGAAGAAGGGUUUCGGAUCGUAAAGCUCUGUUGUAAGAGAAGAACGAGUGUGAGAGUGGAAAGUUCACACUGUGACGGUAUCUUACCAGAAAGGGACGGCUAACUACGUG
rnacentral:rRNA from 1 species